rnacentral:rRNA from 1 species
AUUGAACGCUGGCGGCAGGCUUAACACAUGCAAGUCGAGCGGAGAUGAGGUGCUUGCACCUUAUCUUAGCGGCGGACGGGUGAGUAAUGCUUAGGAAUCUGCCUAUUAGUGGGGGACAACAUUCCGAAAGGGAUGCUAAUACCGCAUACGUCCUACGGGAGAAAGCAGGGGAUCUUCGGACCUUGCGCUAAUAGAUGAGCCUAAGUCGGAUUAGCUAGUUGGUGGGGUAAAGGCCUACCAAGGCGACGAUCUGUAGCGGGUCUGAGAGGAUGGUCCGCCACACUGGGACUGAGACACGGCCCAGACUCCUACGGGAGGCAGCAGUGGGGAAUAUUGGACAAUGGGGGGAAUCCUGAUCCAGCCAUGCCGCGUGUGUGAAGAAGGCCUUAUGGUUGUAAAGCACUUUAAGCGAGGAGGAGGCUACUGAGACUAAUACUCUUGGAUAGUGGACGUUACUCGCAGAAUAAGCACCGGCUAACUCUGUGCCAGCAGCCGCCGUAAGAC